CAAUCUCGACGGCGGAUAUUCACUUCACAUGGAUCGCCCUUUCCAUUCCCUCCUCUCUCACAACUCACAUCUCACAAACUUUAUCAGACUUUCUCCUCUCUUUCUCUCAGAUCUGGAUCGGAAGCGUUUGAACCACCGGUGGAGGAGACUAGGGUUUCGUCGUCCGUGAUGAAAGAUGUCUGGAGUGCUGAUGGUUUGAGAUGAAAUCGGAUGAUGAUGAACAACCGGAGAUGAAGGAAAAACAUCAAUGAAAUUGAAAAUACACAGGGUUGAACACUGAUUUGAAGAAACCCUAACUGAAGGUUUCGUCUGCUCAUCUCUGUUGUGGGUCUUUUGGCUUUCUUCCACAUCAACGAUUAGCAAACACAAAGGGGUUUUUUUUGCUAUGACAUAUGAGACAAGUAUUGGGAUCCUCAAUCGAUAAGAUUAACAAUUCAUGCGUUCUUUUUUUUUGUUGGAGCUCUUGGAGAUUGAUGAAGGGUUUAAUUGUUUCAAAGUGUUUGCUUUCUGUUAAAGUUUUUACAUUGUCCCCUUACAUGGAGACCAAUGAAGGGUUUAUUUGAUUUUUCUAAAGUUGCAGAUAAGUUGGAUCCAAUUACUGCUCUGGUGUUCUCAUGGCAAAAGAUAGAAUUUGAAUUGUGGAUUGCUUUACUUGAUGAAGUUCAAGCACGAUUUGACACUGAUGUUUGCCAGCUAUGGUUCCCGUUAUACUUGGUUCUUCAACAAGGUUGUUACGAAGAUACCGAAAAUUGCACUGACAGUACAAGAAAUUAUACUGCGACACCUGUAAAGAUGACAUGCAGAGUUUGGAGGAGUUCAUUCGUACUUCCAGCACUGGUGAAUUCAAAAGGCACCUUCAACUUGUUUAUGCCUUCCAUGGCCACAUCAGCACAUGGACUGGUUUCUUGAUGAGUUUGUUUAACUCACCUGAAUUAUUAAAGGCUGAAUGAAACAAGAGGGCAAUCCAGCAACUGGUGUCAUUAUUAUUCAAGUGUGUAGUAAUUGUGGUCUGAUUUUGUGUUGUUAUAGUUUACUUUCUGGUUUUCAGGUGUUUAUAUCAACUUUGUCAAAAAAAGAUGAAGAAAAAGUUAAAAUCAGAUAGUUAUGUCCCUGUUCAAAACUCAUGGGUGGAUGCAACUUUUUCAAGAGAAAGUGCAACUUCGAUUUUUGAAAGCUCAAUAAAGAAACAGGUCCAAUGCCCACUUAAAGUGGUAAAUAUGUGUUCGAGUAGGGACGUUGUUGUUCUUGACUUCUACUACAAGUUUGGAACUUAUGUCGUAAUGAUUUUAGUUUGACCUGCAAGAUUCUGCUGUUGAGAGAUUUACUAAUUACAUUCUAAAUGACAGGGAUUAUGGACGAGGAUGUGAGUAAUCCAAAUGCAUCUGGAAGACGUCGAAUGACACUCAUUGGUUCUAGCCAAUGCAUUGAGGGUUGCAGCUGAAUCAGUUGUGGUGACAAUGAAUGCAGCCAUUGAGCUUGUUAGGCUCAUAUUGUCACCUAAAGAUCUUGAAGGGACAAUUCGACUUCCUUUCGUUACUCACUUUCAUGUUUCUGUAUGCAGGCAAAAUGCAGUGAUGAUAUGCCAAUGCCAACUUUAUUCCACUUCCUUUCGUUACUCGCUUGCAAAAUUUUUGCAACAGAGCAAGUAGAUGUUGCUAUUAUUAAGGUUGGAUUAGGAGGAUAGUGGGAUGCGACUAAUGUGAUUCAAUCACCUAUAGUAUGUGGCAUCACACCGCUAGAGUAUGGCCACACAUAAAUCUUUGGUAUGUCCAUUCAUCAAUUUAUUUUUUAUAUUUUGUGCCUUUUUCGUGAAUUGGCUCAUUGAAAUGGAGCCGGGGUUCUGUGACAUGAUGAAUGAAUGUCUGGAUUGUUUGGUCCUGGCAAUGGGAGCAUUAAUAGAACCAGAAGGAUUGUAGCAGCAGCCCUGUUCAACUCUCUAAAGCAAGUUAUUUAACUUUGAUUUUAAUUUGCAAGGGAUGGUGGUGAACUUGCAUGUUUAAUUGAUUUCCCAUCAAUGGGGCAGGCUGGAAAUAUGGGUCAGAACAGGUUUCAGCUGGGAACGAUCAGGCGUUAGGUGUUCUAUAUUAGUCAUGAUUUGUUUGACAUUAAUGUUUCUCCAAUUGUACUAUAAACAUUUGUGUUUUUAGUAAAUUUUAGUUUUAAUAUAUUAACUUGUAGAAAAAAAAUCGGGUUGAACGAGUUGUCUUCGGGUCAGCCCGCCAGGCUUUGGGUCAUGUCCAGGUUCAUAUGUAUGACAAGGUUUUCAGGUUUAGGGCAUGUUUGGGUUCAUUUAAAAUUUUCGGUUCGGUUUGGGUUGAACCCGCCAACCCCUGAGCACGACCCAUUUAGCACCCUUAGUUGUUGGGACUAAACUGACAAAACCAAGCUGUGAACUGAAUUGUAUGUAUCUGAAACCAGCACAACUUCUUUGGUUCAGACGGUUCUGUCUUCGUUUCAUCUAAUAAAUAUCUUUUCCAUUGUCAUUGCUUUAUCUUUAUGGCGAUAGAAAAACUGAAGUCUUGAUUUGUGUGAACUUAUUAUUUCAGAUUAUUGAUAUGAGGAGACGACCAGUAACACAGAAGAGACAUCGUGAUGGGUAUGAAGAUGGUGUUACGCUAUUGAGGAAAACAUGUUCAGCUUCAGACUUUAUUUGGUCAAAUGCUCCUCUUGAUGUUGUUGGUACUGUUAUAUCUAUAACCUUUGAUGAGACAUCUCUGCCUAUCAAGAAUCAUUCGUUGACUAUAGAUGAGGUAGUCUGAGAAUAUUUUAUUUUCGUUUUUUGAGGCUGACAUGAAUUGUAUGUACGAGGGUUGUGUAAUCUUGUCAAAUUCUAACAGUUAAAUUUAUGUAUCUUAAGGUUAUUGAAAGAA